rnacentral:rRNA from 1 species
CUUGCUACUUUGCUGACGAGCGGCGGACGGGUGAGUAAUGCCUAGGGAACUGCCCAGUCGAGGGGGAUAACAGUUGGAAACGACUGCUAAUACCGCAUACGCCCUACGGGGGAAAAGAGGGGAUCUUCGGACCUUCUGCGAUUGGAUGUACCUAGGUGGGAUUAGCUAGUAGGUGAGGUAAUGGCUCACCUAGGCGACGAUCCCUAGCUGUUCUGAGAGGAUGAUCAGCCACACUGGGACUGAGACACGGCCCAGACUCCUACGGGAGGCAGCAGUGGGGAAUAUUGCACAAUGGGCGCAAGCCUGAUGCAGCCAUGCCGCGUGUGUGAAGAAGGCCUUCGGGUUGUAAAGCACUUUCAGCGAGGAGGAAAGGUUAACGGUUAAUACCCGUUAGCUGUGACGUUACUCGCAGAAGAAGCACCGGCUAACUUCGUGCCAGCAGCCGCGGUAAUACGAGGGGUGCAAGCGUUA